GACGAACGCUGGCGGCGUGCUUAACACAUGCAAGUCGAACGGAAAGGCCCUGCUUUUGUGGGGUGCUCGAGUGGCGAACGGGUGAGUAACACGUGAGUAACCUGCCCUUGACUUUGGGAUAACUUCAGGAAACUGGGGCUAAUACCGGAUAGGAGCUCCUGCUGCAUGGUUGGGGUUGGAAAGUUUCGGCGGUUGGGGAUGGACUCGCGGCUUAUCAGCUUGUUGGUGGGGUAGUGGCUUACCAAGGCUUUGACGGGUAGCCGGCAUGAGAGGGUGACCGGCAACAUUGGGACUGAGAUACGGCCCAGACUACUACGGGAGGCAGCAGUGGGGAAUAUUGCACAAUGGGCGGAAGCCUGAGGCAGCAACGCCGCGGGCGGGAUGACGGCCUUCGGGUUGUAAACCGCUUUCGCCUGUGACGAAGCGUGAGUGACGGUAAUGGGUAAAGAAGCACCGGCUAACUACGUG
rnacentral:rRNA from 1 species